rnacentral:rRNA from 1 species
UACGUAGGGUGCAGGCGUUAAUCGGAAUUACUGGGCGUAAAGCGUGCGUAGGCGGUUUGUUAAGACAGGUGUGAAAUCCCCGGGCUUAACCUGGGAACUGCGCUUGUUACUGGCAGACUUGAGUGUGGCAGAGGGGGGUGGAAUUCCACGUGUAGCAGUGAAAUGCGUAGAGAUGUGGAGGAACACCGAUGGCGAAGGCAGCCCCCUGGGUCAACACUGACGCUCAGGCACGAAAGCGUGGGGAGCAAACAGG